CGUGUCCGGUGGACACUCUAUGGCCCCACGCUGGCCAGGACGAUAGGCAGGAGGAAAGAGCUCAUUGAAUUUCAC
rnacentral:tRNA from 1 species